rnacentral:rRNA from 1 species
GUAGUUAGCCGGGGCUUCCUCCUAAAGUACCGUCACUUUCUUCGUCCUUUAGGACAGAGGUUUACAAUCCGAAAACCUUCUUCCCUCACGCGGCAUUGCUGGGUCAGGGUUGCCCCCCAUUGCCCAAUAUUCCCCACUGCUGCCUCCCGUAGGAGUCUGGGCCGUGUCUCAGUCCCAGUGUGGCCGUUCAUCCUCUCAGACCGGCUACCCAUCGCAGGCUUGGUAGGCCGUUACCUUACCAACUACCUAAUGGGACGCGAGCCCGUCUCAAAGCGGAUUGCUCCUUUGACCCCUGUGCCCUUCGGCUCUGUGGUCUUAUGCGGUAUUAGCACCAAUUUCUCGGUGUUAUCCCCCUCUUUGAGGUUGGUUGCUCACGCGUUACUCACCCGUUCGCCCACUAAAGUAUCAUCCGAAGACAAUACCUCCGUUCGACUUGCAUGUGUUAGGCAUGCCGCCAGCGUUCGUCCUGAGCCAUGAUCAAACUCUGA